rnacentral:rRNA from 1 species
UACGGAGGGUGCAAGCGUUAUCCGGAAUCACUGGGUUUAAAGGGUGCGUAGGCGGUUUUUUAAGUCAGUUGUGAAAUUCCCUCGCUUAACGAGUGGGACUGCGAUUGAUACUGAAGAACUUGAAUCAGGUUGAGGUAGGCGGAAUGAGACAUGUAGCGGUGAAAUGCAUAGAUAUGUCUUAGAACACCGAUUGCGAAGGCAGCUUGCUGGACCUGUAUUGACGCUGAGGCACGAAGGCGUGGGGAGCAAACAGG